GUCCUAGUAGCUUAAUUAUUUAAAGCCUUGAUUUUGUAAAUCAAAAUAUGGGUAUACACUACCCCUAGAACA
rnacentral:tRNA from 1 species